CACACACCAACCGGAACUCCCACCACCGGAACUUCACCAACCAACGUGAACUCUUCAGGAAUCCCCGCAAGAGCUCAACCGGAACUCAAAGGGAACUCCACGAGAACUCAAAAGUCAUCAUCUUAAUGGCUCGCUGGCAUCACCUCUCAACCACUACUUCUGGCAAAAAUGCCAUGCGUCAUCCCGACUCGGCUGUGGCCCUCAACAGAGGAGAACUAAACCUGGAAGGAAGGAAAGAAGGCAGGCACUGAUAAAGGUUCAAGGAUAGAAAGAUUCAAUAUCGUCAAGAUGUCAAUCUUCCCAACUUGAUCUAUAAAGUCAAAGUGAUCCUAAUCAAAACUCCAACAAGUAUUUUGUUGAUGUCAAUAAACCGAUUUUGAAGUUUAAUGUGGAGAGGCAAAAGUCCCCAAAUAGUCAAGACAGCGUUGAAAGAGAAGAAGGAAGGUGGAGGGCUGAGGCUCCUCAACUUUAAGAUUUACUACUCAGCUACAGUAAUGAAGACAGUGUGGUGUUGGUGACAGAAUAGACAAAUGGAUCAAUGAACAGAAUGGGGAGCCCAGAACUAGAGUCACAAAAUAGACAGCUUGUCUUGGACAUAGGAAAAAAGGCAGUACCAACAACACAGGAGAAAGUCAAGACGAUCGACCCCAAAAUCAUACUCCACAAAAGGAAGAUUCAACAAGCUGGACUUUGUUACAAAAAUAGGCUAAGUUAAAUUAAAAUCUUCUGUGAAAGACUCGACCAAGAGAAUUAGAAGACAAACCACAAACUGGGAGAACACAUUUCCAAAAGACGUAUGUAAUGAACAAUUGUUACCCAUGAAAUACAAAGGACCUGACAGCUCAACGAUAAGAAAACAUGCACCCCAAUUAAAAAUAUAGGUCAUACAUUUUUAACAAACAUCUCAUGGGAGGAUAUACACAUGGCAAAAAAAACACCCAGUGUGUUUGCAGAAGAAGGGGAGGAGAGGGCAGCUGGAGUAGACAGACUUCAUACACGAGCUAUGCUGGAUGCCCCCUCGGGUGUGGACCUUGAAGGCUUCUUUCCUGGGGUAACUGAGUCCCCCAAGAGCUUGGGCAGGGAGGAAAGGAAGAACCUGGUGGGAAAGGUCUUUUUUUAAACACCAUCCAGCUGUCUGACCUGUCUCUUCACUAAUCUGCCUUAAGACACCACUUGUGGGCUGGGGCUAUGGCUCAGUGGCAAAGCGCUGGCCUAGCAUGCAUGAGGCACUGGGUUGAUCCUCAGCACCACGUAAAAAAAUUAAAAAAGAAAAUAAAGGCAUUCUGCUCAUCUACAACUACAAAAUAGAGAGAGAGAGACACUAUUGUGAAACCAGGAAGAUGCUCUCUGUCCUCCCCACAUCCAUCAUAAACAGCUCGUCCCAGGACCCGGCUGCAGCUGGGCGAUCCCCGAGGCAGGUCCUCCUGGGGGCAGACCAGGGAGGUGUCCAUGGAGGAGCAUAGGCCUGAGAGACCUUCCUGCCUGGCUUGCGGUGGAGAUAGGGAUGGCCACAGAGCUGGCCGGUCUGUUUAUUCUGCUUCUUUUAACCUUGGGAGAGUUCCCAAGGUCAGACGGGGAGGGGCAACAGCCCAGUGAGAGCCAGAAGCAGGCAGCUCAGGG
rnacentral:lncRNA from 1 species